rnacentral:rRNA from 1 species
AGGACGAACGCUGGCGGCGUGCUUAACACAUGCAAGUCGAGCGGAAAGGCCCUUCGGGGUACUCGAGCGGCGAACGGGUGAGUAACACGUGAGCAACCUGCCCUUAGCUCUGGGAUAGCUCCGGGAAAACCGGAAUUAAUACCGGAUAUUACACCGGCUGGCAUCGGCUGGUGUGGAAAGAUUUAUCGGCUAAGGAUGGACUCGCGGCCUAUCAGCUUGGUUGGUGGGGUAGAAGCCUACCAAGGCGACGACGGGUA